GACGAACGCUGGCGGCGUGCUUAACACAUGCAAGUCGAACGGAAAGGCCCUGCUUUUGUGGGGCGCUCGAUUGGCGAACGGGUGAGUAACACGUGAGUAACCUGCCCUUGUCUUUGGGAUAACUUCAGGAAACUGGGGCUCAUACCGGAUAGGAUCUCUUGCUGCAUGGUGGGGGUUGGAAAGUUUCGGCGGUUGGGGAUGGACUCGCGGCUUAUCAGCUUGUUGGUGGGGUAGUGGCUUACCAAGGCUUUGACGGGUAGCCGGCCUGAGAGGGUGACCGGCCACAUUGGUACUGAGAUACGGCCCAGACUCCUACGGGCGGCAGCAGUGGGGAAUAUUGCAGAAUGGGCGGAAGCCUGAUGCAGCAACGCCGCGUGCGGGAUGACGGCCUUCGGGUUGUAAACCGCUUUCGCCUGUGAUGAAGCGUGAAUGACGGUAAUGGGUAAAGAAGCACCGGCUAACUACGUG
rnacentral:rRNA from 1 species